UAGCACUUGACAGAUACCUUGAUAA
rnacentral:piRNA from 1 species